CUAUCAAGCACACGGUAAAUGAUCAGGAAAAAGUUAUUGAGUGAGUGGAGGUUAAUCCUCUUUGCCCCUACAUCCUAUAUGAUUCUCAGGUUCUUAAUAUAUUCUGAGAGACUAAAGCCCAGAGACAGUAUGAAAGAUGGCCAAGAUCCUGAAUAAAGUCAAAUGAAAGUGUUCAGUGACAGUCCUGCGACCAUGACUUCCUGGGGCCUCUGCUCUUCAAAGGCAUCUCUACUUGCUGUCUCCUCCAUGAAGUCUUCCAUUGAACUCAAUGAGUACCUGAUGCCACUUACACGACUCAAUCUCAUAAGCUCCGCUAGUGAUGGUCUGACAUCCACAUCUCUAUGCCAUGCCGAUACCCUCACACGCCUUUCAAAAGAGUGAAUACCUAAGUGAAUGGACAAAAAAAAUGGCACUUCCAUAAAGCAACUUUUGCGGCCAUCGCUGUCACAGAGGUUAAGGACCCAGGCUUUGCAACCAGGCUGCAUGAGACGACAUCCCAUUGCCAUGGUGUGGUGGGGUGUGCCCGUAACCCAGGUUUAAGAAAUAUUAUUAAUUCCUCAAGCUUUGAAAAUAAACCCUAGCCUCAAUCUGCAACCAGGCAAGAUGAAAGGAAAUGCUAAACUCAGGAUGCCUGUGGAAACAUUUAAAAUCAUUUGCUUAAGAUUUGUCAAUAGAUAUCUGCAAAUGUAAAGACUUACCAGGACAUGCAGGCCUUCAGGAGAAGAGUUUCAAAGUGGUUUACAUUUCAGCUUCAAUAUUUAUAAACAGAAUGAAAUCCGGAGGGAAGGAGCCUGGAGAGAUAAGCCUUUGGUAGGUCUGAGCUGCAGCCCAAGAUUCUGCAUUUUGAACAAGCUCCCAGGUGAUGGCAAUGCUGCUGAUCUAUGGGCCACAGUUUGAAUAGCCAUGAUCUAUGUUUGUUCAUUCUACUGAAGCAAGUUACCACGUCAUCUGCUCCCCUAGAGAGGUGUCACUGGACAAGGCACUGAGGGCAGGCCAACAGCCUGCAAAGGACUGCAUCCUGAGAACAACCAUGGGAGGGAGCCUGGAAGCAGAUCCCUCCCCAGUCAGCCUAGAGAUGAUACCGCAACCCUGACUGUAGCCUGUAAGAGGCCUUGAAGAGGUCUUGGGUCCAGCUAAGCACACCUGCAUUCCUGAUCCUCCGACGGCGCUGUGACAUCAAACAGAUGUGUAUUAAGUUUUGGGGUGAUUUGUUAUGCAGCAAUAGGUGACAAAUGGAUGGAUAGGUCCCUUCUAGUCCUGACAGUAUCCUCUGAUACAUAGCCUUCAUUCACAUUGAAAAGAAGGAAAACAGAAAGAACCAUAGUAUUCUGUGAGCAAGUGGAGUCUGAGGAGGACAUAUCCACAGAAACCUCAUUUUCUCAACUCCAGGACAUGGAAUGCAGGUUGGACAGACACAGUGAGGAUAAGCUGUAUAAGGACACCACCUUGAGAAAGGCCAAGCCACAGACCAGAAAAAGCCCAAGUCCUCUGUGACAUACAGAAUAGAGUCGCUGACCAGGUUCAGCUGUCUGCUGACCUCUGUGUGGUGAACAAGAGAAAAAUAAAAGCCUGUCUUAUUCUGGGGUCUCUCUGUCACAGCUCUGUGAUAAAAUGAAUUGUGUCUUUCCAAAAUUCGUAUGUUGAAGCCCAGCCCCCAGCUGUGAUUGAACUUGGAGAUAUGGAUUGUAAGGAUUAAGUGAGGUCAGGGGAAGGGCUCUGUCCUGUAGGACUAGUAUUCUUAUAAGAAGUGAGGUAGACACCAGAUCGCUCUCCUGUCCUCAGUGCUCACACCAAGGA
ensembl:lncRNA